AUGGUUUUCUUUCCUAAAUAUAACCCGCGAGCCCUAGGAGGAGUUCAGUGGGGCACGGCACACCCCGCAGACGCUUGGUUUCGCUGUUCGCAGUUAAAGGAUCGGCUGGGUUUUGGAGAUGGGGAAGCGAGGAUCCGAGCACUGCAUCCCUGCGGGUCCAGCAGCAGCCCCGCGGCGAGCAGAGCUGCGAGAGCAGGUCCUCCCUGCCACAGACGUGGGGUUUUCCCCCCAGAAAAUCAAAGGACCUCCUCCUUCUCCAGCCCAGAGCACACAGCGCACGCUUCCCAUCCCAUCCCUCGGGGCUCUCCGCGGCAGCUGCCCACGGUUUUCCACGAGGGAUCCCCGUGGGGCCAGGGCUCCCCAUGGGGCUGGGGUCCCUCCACUGGUCUGGGGUCUCCCCACGGGGCCGGGGUCUCCCCUGGUAUCUCCAGGACCGGGCUGCGAGCCCUGCCAGGGGGUUCUCCCGAGCAUCUCCCCGGGGAUGCAAGGAGGCUGGCGCUCCCGCUGAGCCUGAGAGACUCAACCCUUGAAUUUAAAUCCUUAAAACCGGACUCUUUUAGAGCAGUCUCCAAGGCUUACAUAAAUAAAUAAUAUAUAUAUAUACGUAUAUAUAUAUAUAUACAUAUAUAUUUUUUUUUUUUCUGGCACCACUGAGCCGCCUCCCGCAUCCGUGCCCACGGGGGCACCCGGCCGCCCCCGGGCAAUGCCCCAGAGGGGUUGGGGAAGGAAAUUACGGGAAAUUAAAGACCCAUAGACACCUCUUUCAGGGAGCUGUGCCAAGUCAAGGUUUCAGGCUUCUGCCCUAGGGGGCUCGCCUUGUCCCCGGUUCGCACCCCGCGCAGCCUACAGGCGUCUGCCCGCAGCGGGAUGCAUGUGGUGGGGAUGCCGAGCGCCGGAUCUGCAGCUGGAGCGUGUCGGGGCCGUGCCGGGCUCGCAUCCGGUGCUAAAAAGCGGAAUAAGGCUGGAAAAUCGUCUUGAGGCUCGCGAUGCUGGGGCACAAGCGGUCUGCUCCUUUCUGAGGCUCCGUUCUCGGUUUCUAAAGAGCAGCUAAUUCAUUGCUCCCACGGGAGCGCUAAAGAGAAGCUCAGUCAUGUUUCCAGCGCUCUCAAGCAUCGUCAUGACAAGUGCCAAAGGAAAAGAAGAGAGUAGCAUUUGUUUCUUAUUCACCGCACUUGCAACAAAUAAGGCUUGGGAUCGCACUGAGGCAUAAAAGGGACAAGCUGGUUUCUGGGUGCUGUCCUACGUCCCCCAGCCCUCCAGCCACCCCUGUCUCUGCUGUGCCUUCCCCUGUUGCUUUCCCUACCCUCUCUGCUGGGUUAUUUCCCCUGUAGCCAUCCUCUUGCAGCAGAGGAUUCCCUGAUUCUUGGCCCCCGUGGGUCGCAGCUGAGCUCCC
rnacentral:lncRNA from 1 species